rnacentral:rRNA from 1 species
CCUACGGGUGGCAGCAGUGAGGAAUAUUGGUCAAUGGGCGAGAGCCUGAACCAGCCAAGCCGCGUGAGGGAGUACUGCCCUAUGGGUUGUAAACUUCUUUUGUGCGGGAGCAAUAAUGGUCACGUGUGGCCAGACGAGAGUACCGUACGAAUAAGCAUCGGCUAACUCCGUGCCAGCAGCCGCGGUAAUACGGGGGAUGCAAGCGUUAUCCGGAUUUAUUGGGUUUAAAGGGUGCGUAGGCUGUGAGGUAAGUCAGCGGUGAAAUGCCCCCGGUCAACGGGGUGAAGUGCCAUUGAUACUGGCUUGCUGGAAUGCGGAAGCCGUGGGAGGAAUGUGUGGUGUAGCGGUGAAAUGCAUAGAUAUCACACAGAACACCGAUUGCGAAGGCAUCUGACGAGUCCGCGAUUGACGCUGAGGCACGAAAGCGUGGGUAUCAAACAGGAUUAGAUACCCUAGUAGUC